GUAAGAUUUAGAGUUCUAAGUUCAAGUGGUUGAGCAAUGUUUCGCGCUUGCUAUAGGCUCUAUGCUCGUGAUCGUUGGACACAGCACAUAUGUAUCUAAUAAUACGUUCAAAUACAACGGUAAAUUAACCUUGAAUUAGCUUCGUUUCGAGACAUGGCUUUUCGUUGUAAUUAGUAGAGCAAACAACGGAUUGUGUGCCGGGUCGCGUCUCCACGAUAAAUCGCGGCACUAUAAAGCGUGUUCCAAGACGUUCAUUUGAAUACGAUAUACACACGUAUACAGUAUACAUACAGGGAGUGUCAGGGUGAUUCUACAACAGAGUAGAAAGUGAUUGUAAGCUGCUCAAGUCUUACAUGAUAAGAGGUGCUCGACGCGGUACUCAUUUGCAUCGAUCCAACAUUGCAAUCGUCCGAUUUCUAAAAAUAACGAAGAUGUUCAAGAUAUUCAAAGUUCUUGGCACACUCUGCAUAAACUUAUUUAAUGUACCGUCCUCUAGUUACGAAUAACUAAUAUGCUCACGGGUAUAUACUUCCAAAACAUCGCGAUUCAAGCUUUCCGCGAGAAAGAUUCCAUCGAAAAAAAAUCAGGAAAUACCAAAGGCAACGGAGCUUUUAUUGUCCCGCGAUAUGAUCCAGCGGUGGAACGUAAGAACGGCCGGAGCAAGUGAUUGAACGUCACGUCGGAACCGAAAGCUUCGUAGCUCGCACGAUCGGUUUUCCGCGGUGGCAACAAAGAUGGAGCGUUUCUUUCUCUGUGAAGCCUGACAAAUGCGGUCUAUUUGUAUCGGGGAGCGUGACCGGAGGCUGAAAAGGGGAUUGAUUUACCGGCUCGCAUCUCUGCCGUUAGCCGUUGGUGAUUUUUCGUAUCGGCCACCGUAUUUAUGAGACGGUACCACGUCGUAUUAAUGGGCCCUCGGUAUGGUACAUCCGGCCGUAUCGACGCCACGAUCUUGUCUCGAAUCUUGGCCUAUCGAUACGUACCAAUUCGACCGUCCUACCUGCGACGCUAUCUUCCCACGCGGAUACGCUGUAUCUUCGUCGUACAUUGCCGGCCAGAAGUAUUAGGACACCUACUGGUACCUACUGGUUACGCAUACUGAAAAAUUAUAACAGAUUUUGCUUUGUUUAACAUUUUACGUUAUAAAACGUGGAUAACAUGUAAUACGAUUAAAUAACAGAUUUGUAAUAAAAUAAUUAGAAAAUAAAAACAGGGGAAAGCUAUCAA